AUGCUCAAAAUUCUCCAAGCCAGGCUUCAGCAAUACAUGAACCAUGAACUCCCUGAUGUUCAAGCUGGUUUUACAAAAGGCAGAGGAACCAGAGAUCAAGUUGCCAACAUCCACAGGAUCAUGGAAAAAGCAAGACAGUUCCAGAAAAACAUAUAUUUCUGCUCUAUUGACUAUGCCAAAGCCUUUGACUGUGUGGAUCAUAAUAAACUGUGGAAAAUCCUGAAAGAGAUGGGAAUACCAGACCACCUAACCUGCCUCUUGCAAAAUCUGUAUGCAGGUCAGGAAGCAACAGUUAGAACUGGACAUGAAACAACAGACUUGUUCCAAAUAGGAAAAGGAGUACGUCAAGGCUGUAUGUUGUCACCCUGCUUGUUUAACUUAUAUGCAGAGUACAUCAUGAGAAACACUGGGCUGGAGGGAGCACAAGCUGGAAUCAAGAUUGCUGGGAGAAAUAUCAAUAACCUCAGAUAUGCAAAUGACACCACCCUUAUGGCAGAAAGUGAAGAGGAACUAAAGAGUCUCUUGAGGAAAGUGAAAGAGGAGAAUGAAAAAGUUGGCUUAAAGCUCAACAUUCAGAAAACAAAGAUCAUGGCAUCUGGUCCCAUCACGUCAUGGGAAAUAGAUGGGGAAACAGUAGAAACAGUGUCAGACUUUAUUUUGGGGGGCUCCAAAUUCACUGCAGAUGGUGAUUGCAGCCAUGAAAUUAAAAGACACUUACUCCUUGGAAGAAAAGUUAUGACCAACCUAGAUAGCAUAUUCAAAAGCAGAGACAUUACUUUGCCGACUAAGGUCCGUCUAGUCAAGGCUAUGGUUUUUCCAGUAGUCAUGUAUGGAUGUGAGAGUUGGACUGUGAAGAAGGCUGAGUGCCAAAGAAUUGAUGCUUUUGAACUGUGGUGUUGGAGAAGACUCUUGAGAGUCGCUUGGACUACAAGGAGAUCCAACCAGUCCAUUCUGAAGGAGAUCAGCCCUGGGAUUUCUUUGGAAGGAAUGAUGCUAAAGCUGAAACUUCAGUACUUUGGCCACCUGAUGUGA
rnacentral:lncRNA from 1 species